GACGAACGCUGGCGGCGUGCUUAACACAUGCAAGUCGAACGGAAAGGCCCUGCUUUUGUGGGGUGCUCGAGUGGCGCACAGGUGAGUAACACGCGAGUAAACUGCCCUUGACUUUGUGGUAACUUUAGGGAACUGGGGCUCAUACCGGAUAGGAGCUCUUGCUGCAUGGGGGGGGAUGGAAAGUUUCGGCGGUUGGGGCUGGACUCGAGGCUUCUCAGCUUGUUGGUGGGGUAGGGGCUUACCACGGCUUUGAAGGGUAGCCGGCCUGGGAGGGUGACCGGCGACAUGGGUACUGAGGGACGGCCCAGUCUCGUAUGGUAGGCAGCAGGGGGGAAUCUGGCACAAUGGCCGGAAGCCUGAUGCAGCAACGCCGCGUGCGUGAUGACCUCCUUCUGGUUGUAAACCGCUUUCGCCUUUGCUGUAGCGUGAGUGACGGUAAUUGGUAAAGAAGCACCGGCUAACUACGUG
rnacentral:rRNA from 1 species